AGCGAUGAAGCGGGAGGUUGCGGCUCUUUGGAAGCCGGUUUUUCCGUGGAGUGAGUCCGAUUCAAGAAACCGGGCGGC
rnacentral:ncRNA from 1 species